rnacentral:tRNA from 1 species
GCGCCCGUAGCUCAACGGAUAGAGCAUCUGACUACGGAUCAGAAGGUUGGGGGUUCGAGUCCCUCCGGGCGCAC